UCAAUUUACCUAAACCAAUCAAUAAGUAAUACUCGGAUACAUGACGUGGCAAAAUCUCAUCCUUUCAUAAGGCUUUGGCGGCUGUUGUUUAAUGAAAUCUCAUCCGUUCAUCGCCCAACAAAGGCUUUGGCGUCUGCUCUCUUCAUCCUUUCAUCUUUUCAUCGCCUCGACUGAGAACAAAAUUCAGAACAAAAUUAAUUCAGAUUAGGUCUUCUCUUGGCUGAUCUCAGGAAAAAAUUAAUUCAGAUUAGGUCAUCACCUUUCAGCACAUACUUCUUCUCUUCUUCUUGUUUUCAUCACAUAUUCUCAAUUCUCAAUUCUUUUUUCCUCUCCUCCAUUACGAUUUACGAGAAUCUCUCUGCUUUAGCUUCUCACUCCACUCGAUACAUCGAAGACGUUUCACCACCACCUUGGCGAGCCUCUUUUGAUGUUGGUUCUCAGUCAAUCGCCCACCACCUGUUCGAUUAAAUGCCUCAAUGGGUUUAUUGUCUUGAAGCUGUUUUAAAACAGAGCAUAUGGAAGAUAUUUUAGGAUUGUUGUUCAGAUAUAUUAAGCAUUUACAUCAGUCUGGUGUUUCCCUUUGGAUUUUUGAUGAGGUAUAUGUAUUCUUAACUCUCAUU